rnacentral:rRNA from 1 species
UACGGAGGGGGCAAGCGUUGUUCGGAAUUACUGGGCUUAAAGGGCGCGUAGGCGGGCUCCCAAGUCUGGGGUGAAAUCUUUCGGCUUAACCGGAAAAGUGCCUCGGAUACUGGGAGCCUUGAGGGAGGCAGGGGCGGAUGGAACUUCCGGUGGAGCGGUGAAAUGCGUUGAUAUCGGAAGGAACGCCGGUGGCGAAAGCGAUCCGCUGGACCUCUUCUGACGCUGAGGCGCGAAAGCCAGGGGAGCAAACGGG